UGCAAGUCGAACGGUAACAUUUCUAGCUUGCUAGAAGAUGACGAGUGGCGGACGGGUGAGUAAUGCUUGGGAACUUGCCUUUGCGAGGGGGAUAACAGUUGGAAACGACUGCUAAUACCGCAUAAUGUCUUCGGACCAAACGGGGCUUCGGCUCCGGCGCAAAGAGAGGCCCAAGUGAGAUUAGCUAGUUGGUAAGGUAACGGCUUACCAAGGCGACGAUCUCUAGCUGUUCUGAGAGGAAGAUCAGCCACACUGGGACUGAGACACGGCCCAGACUCCUACGGGAGGCAGCAGUGGGGAAUAUUGCACAAUGGGGGAAACCCUGAUGCAGACAUGCCGCGUGUGUGAAGAAGGCCUUCGGGUUGUAAAGCACUUUCAGUUGUGAGGAAAAGUUAGUAGUUAAUACCUGCUAGCCGUGACGUUAACAACAGAAGAAGCACCGGCUAACUCCGUGCCAGCAGCCGCGGUAAUACGGAGGGUGCGAGCGUUAAUCGGAAUUACUGGGCGUAAAGCGCACGCAGGCGGUUUGUUAAGCUAGAUGUGAAAGCCCCGGGCUCAACCUGGGAUGGUCAUUUA
rnacentral:rRNA from 1 species